GACGAACGCUGGCGGCGUGCUUAACACAUGCAAGUCGAACGGAAAGGCCCUGCUUUUGUGGGGUGCUCGAGUGGCGAACGGGUGAGUAGCACGUGAGUAACCUGCCCUUGACUUUGGGAUAACUUCAGGAAACUGGGGCUAAUACCGGAUAGGAGCUCCUGCUGCAUGGUGGGGGUUGGAAAGUUUCGGCGGUUGGGGAUGGACUCGCGGCUUAUCAGCUUGUUGGUGGGGUAGUGGCUUACCAAGGCUUUGACGGGUAGCCGGCCUGAGAGGGUGACCGGCCACAUUGGGACUGAGAUACGGCCCAGACUCCUACGGGAGGCAGCAGUGGGGAAUAUUGCACAAUGGGCGGAAGCCUGAUGCAGCAACGCCGCGUGCGGGAUGACGGCCUUCGGGUUGUAAACCGCUUUCGCCUGUGACGAAGCGUGAGUGACGGUGAUGGGUAAAGAAGCACCGGCUAACUACGUG
rnacentral:rRNA from 1 species